rnacentral:tRNA from 1 species
GCGCAGAUGCCCAAGCGGCCUAAGGGGCCCGCCUGCAGAGCGGGUAUUCGGGGGUUCGAAUCCCUCUCUGCGCU